UACGUAGGGGGCUAGCGUUGUCCGGAUUUAUUGGGCGUAAAGAGCGUGUAGGCGGCUAGGUAGGUCUGCUGUGAAAACUCGAGGCUCAACCUCGAGACGUCGGCGGAAACCAUCUGGCUAGAGUCCGGAAGAGGAGAGUGGAAUUCCUGGUGUAGCGGUGAAAUGCGCAGAUAUCAGGAAGAACACCCGUGGCGAAGGCGGCUCUCUGGGACGGUACUGACGCUGAGACGCGAAAGCGUGGGGAGCGAACAGG
rnacentral:rRNA from 1 species